AUGGCAUUGUCUCCAUUAAAUCUUCUACCAGAGCCUAGUCUGAUGCUUCAUACCUGGUAUGGGCUCAGAAUAUAUCUGGCGAAAAGAAUUCAGUCACUUAGGAUUGGAACACUUAAUGAACCAAUCCAGGAAGUUGCAAGAGCAGCCUUGUGGGCCAAGUGAUGCCAAGAAGGCUCAGAACAAGAUUAGAUGAUUUUUCUUGGUGUAACCCAUUUGUCAUCAUGGACUCGGGGUUAAAGGAAAGCAUAUGACAACUGCCAGUAGGAUCCAGCUCUGAAGAAAUUAAAUACAAGGUCAAUGAUAAUGAUCUGCUUCCCUGGUACAGCUUUGCUGAAGCUUCAGGACUCUGUGAGAAGCCCAGAAUUUGACUUGGCACCCAAGCUAGCCUAGAACCAACAACAUUAAUGCAAAGAGGCUCUGAACUAGGAAAGUCUAAAAGUCUAAAUAAAUACACUGUCUCUCCAUGUCCUGUACAUAUGGAUCCAGAAGUGUUCCCAUGAUCUGAGAUAGAGAAUACUGAGAAGGCCAAUGGACUGACAAAGGCUGGAGGGUCGUGGCUGAAAUAUUCUGGGAUUUCAACAUUGGAGGCAAGUGACUAGAACCAUUUCAGAGUAGGUGCCAACAUAAUGUCUCAAAAACACUAUACAGAAGUGGUCACAUCCAGUGGAUAGCAGUCAGGGGUUGGUAAGACUGCAUGCUUCUCAGAAAACUGGC
rnacentral:lncRNA from 1 species